rnacentral:rRNA from 1 species
CCUACGGUGUGCAGCAGUGGGGAAUAUUGGACAAUGGGCGAAAGCCUGAUCCAGCCAUGCCGCGUGUGUGAAGAAGGCCUUCGGGUUGUAAAGCACUUUCAGUGGGGAAGAAAGCCUUGGGGCUAAUACCCUCGAGGAAGGACAUCACCCACAGAAGAAGCACCGGCUAACUCCGUGCCAGCAGCCGCGGUAAUACGGAGGGUGCGAGCGUUAAUCGGAAUUACGGGGCGUAAAGCGCGCGUAGGCGGUCUGAUAAGCCGGUUGUGAAAGCCCCGGGCUCAACCUGGGAACGGCAUCCGGAACUGUCAGGCUAGAGUGCAGGAGAGGAAGGUAGAAUUCCCGGUGUAGCGGUGAAAUGCGUAGAGAUCGGGAGGAAUACCAGUGGCGAAGGCGGCCUUCUGGACUGACACUGACGCUGAGGUGCGAAAGCGUGGGUAGCAAACAGGAUUAGAUACCCCGGUCGUC